UUUGGGUCUGCUAAAUCCCGUUUCGUAGUUUGUAGUCUGGCAGACCCAAC
ensembl:ncRNA Y51H7C.32 ncRNA